rfam:Beta vulgaris subsp. vulgaris chromosome 9, whole genome shotgun sequence.
AAACCAUGAUGAGGACAAAGAUGUUGCAGAUCCUUGAACCUCUCCCAAGCUUCAUUAAAGGACUCACAAGGAUCAUCGGUGAAAGUAAGUAUGGCAUGUCUCAUAUCUGCAUUCU